CUACGGGUGGCAGCACUGGGAAUAUGCGCAAUGGGCGAAAGCUGACGCAGCGACGCCGCGUGCGGGACGAAGGCUUCGGGUUGUAAACCGCUGUGGAGAGGGAAGAUAAUGACGGUACCUCUCUAGAAAGCACUGCUAACUACGUGCCAGAAGCCUCGGUGAUACGUAGGGUGCAAGCAUUAUCCGGAUUUAUUGGGCGUAAAGAGUAUCGUAGGCGGUAUAGUAAGUGAUUAGUGAAAUCCUUUGGCUCAACCAAAGAACUGCUAGUCAUACUGCUAAACUUGAGUAAUUUCGGGAAGGCUGGAAUUUUCGGUGUAGGGGUGAAAUCCGUUGAUAUCGAAAAGAACACCAAGGGCGAAGGCAGGCCUUUAGGAAUUUACUGACGCUGAUGAACGAAAGCUUGGGGAGCAAAAAGGAUUAGAGACCCUUGUAGUCCAAGCCGUAAACGAUGCCCACUAGAUGGUUUGUUUUUAAUGGACUGUCGUAAGCUAACGCGUUAAGUGGGCCGCCUGGGGAGUACGGUCGCAAGACUAAAACUCAAAGGAAUUGACGGGGAAAUGCACAACCAGGGGAGCAUGUGGUUUAAUUCGAUACAAAGCGAAGAACCUUACCUGGGUUUGACAUCCCGGUGACCGAUUGUGGAAACACGAUUUUUCUUUUAGACACCGGUGACAGCUGCUGCAUGGCUGUCGUCAGCUCGUACCGUGAGGCGUCGGCUUAAGUGCCGCAACGAGCGCAACCCCCAUCGUAUGUUACAUAUCAUACGAGACUGCCCCCGAACAACGGGGGAGGAAGGAGGGGAUGACGUCAAGUCAGCACGGCGCUUACAUCCAGGGCAACACACAUCCUACAAUGGUGGGGGACAGCGGGUUGCGAACCAGUAAUGGGGAGCUAAUCCUUCAAACCCCCCCUCAGUUCAGAUUGUGGGCUGAAAUUCGCCCACAUGAAGUCGGACUUGGUAGUAAUCGCGGGUCAGCAGACCGCGGUGAAUGCGUUCUCAUUUCUUGUACACACCGCCCGUCACAUGAGGAAAGUCGGCAGUGCCCGAAGGCCCAACGUUUGUGGACUAAGUAA
rnacentral:rRNA from 1 species